rnacentral:rRNA from 1 species
GACGAACGCUGGCGGCGUGCUUAACACAUGCAAGUCGAACGAAGAGCGAUGGAAGCUUGCUUCUAUCAAUCUUAGUGGCGAACGGGUGAGUAACGCGUAAUCAACCUGCCCUUCAGAGGGGGACAACAGUUGGAAACGACUGCUAAUACCGCAUACGAUCUAAUCUCGGCAUCGAGGAUAGAUGAACGGUGGCCUCUACAUGUAAGCUAUCACUGAAGGAGGGGAUUGCGUCUGAUUAGCUAGGUGGAGGGGUAACGGCCCACCAAGGCGAUGAUCAGUAGCCGGUCUGAGAGGAUGAACGGCCACAUUGGGGCUGAGACACGGCCCAGACUCCUACGGGAGGCAGCAGUGGGGAAUCUUCCGCAAUGGACGAAAGUCUGACGGAGCAACGCCGCGUGAGUGAUGACGGCCUUCGGGUUGUAAAGCUCUGUUAAUCGGGACGAAAGGCCUUCUUGCGAACAGUUAGAAGGAUUGACGGUACCGGAAUAGAAAGCCACGGCUAACUACGUG